GGAAACUUCUCUCUCAGCCUCAUAGAGGUGUUCAACUUAAGUCAAUUGAUGUGCAAUACUUGGGCCUGGACAAGUCAGACUGGAACUCAGCCCCCAGCCCCAAGAGUUGCUUAUCAAGUGCUCUGCACUGAGCCCCUGGGAUAGCCAUGUCCCUUGCCCUGAGUGGGGAGUAGGAUGGUGUAGAGUGGAGAGAGGGGGGUCAGGACCCACUUGAGGCCUCCAGGGACCCCAGGUCCACACUGUAAUGUGGUCAGAGAUGCUGCUGAACUGUGUGAUAACCUUAGGAAAGCAGGCCUUAUGUGGAAAUGUCCAGGUGAACACUUAUGCAGGGCAGUGGCUCACCAAACACCAGUACCUGAUCCUAAGCUCUCCACCCACACACACACCUACGUUGCUUGGUGGUUUAGUGGGUUUGUGGCACUUGUUUAGAAGAGAAAAUCCCAUCUGUCUGGACGCCUCUAAGUGUCGACUUCUUGGGAAGAAUGGACUGGCUGUUUAAGAUGGACGUUUGUGGAAUCGCAUCAACAAUUAAAGGGCCUGCAGUUAGGGGAAACCAGUAGGGUUUAUGGGACACAGUUUCCCAGUAAAUUACAGCAUUUUAUUUGUAUUUCCACAUGUCACACUGAGCCCUCCGUGCCCUGAGGAAGAGCAGGCAGGGCUCCUGUUCUUUCUUUUCCUGACUCAGUCUCCAACAUGGGCAUAGCCAGGGGCAGACCACCUUCCUCAAAUGCAGGGCCACCCACCCACCCCAGGAGCAGCCUGGAGAAAUAAAAUAACAAGAAGCACAAUCAUACUUUUCCUAUCACAAAGGGCACCAAAUAGGAAAGAGCUCUUGUCUUCCCCACUCUCGUUCACACAGGGGCCUUGCUGGACAAUGUUCUCUGCUUCCUGGGGGACGGAAGUGGAGGGUUUCCGUAAGACAGUGAGAGUCCUCUGACAUAAAUGAAAUGCUGUUUGUGAGACUUAAUGCUACAUGGAUGUACCAGUCAGGUCUGCACAGUUUAAUUAGCUAGAUGUGAAUUUACAGAUAGAGUUGACUUUCUUUAGGGUUUUAAAAC
ensembl:lncRNA